rnacentral:rRNA from 1 species
GACGAACGCUGGCGGCGUGCCUAAUACAUGCAAGUAGAACGCCGUUGCGAACGGGUGAGUAACGCGUAGGUAACUGCCUCAUAGCGGGGGAUAACUAUUUGAAACGAUAGCUAAUACCGCCUACUGUGAUCUGGACCUGCGUUGUAGUAGCUAGUUGGUGAGGUAAAGGCUCACAAAGGCGACGAUAAAUAGCCGGCCUGAGAGGAUGAGCGGCACACUGGGGAUGAAGAAAGGGCCAGGAUUCUACGGGAGGGAGCAAUAGGGAAUCUUCGGCAAAGGACGGAAGUCUGACCGAGCAACUCCGGGUGGGUGAAGAAGGGUUUCGGAUCGGAAAGCUCUGUUUUUAGAGAAGCGGUAACUAACCAGAAAGGGACGGCUAACUACGUGCCAGCAGCCGCGGUAAUUC